rnacentral:lncRNA from 1 species
AGUAAAUAGAAGCUCCCUAGGCUGGACUGGGGCGGGCGCGCCAGCCAUGAGGACAGCACAAGCAAAGUCCAUUUUCAGACUCAGCGCCUGCCUCCCAAGUCUCGCCUGUCAGGCUGGAGAGUCCCUCCCGGGGAUCCCUGGGAUUUAGCACAGUGCCUGGCAUAUCGUAGAUGGGGAAACAGAGGCUCAGAGAAGUCCAGUCAUUUGCCUUGUUGGGAAGCAGCCGCGCUGAGAGGUCACCAUCAUUAUCUUCCUUUCAUUUGGAAGAAACUGGGGCGCUGAGUGCCGAUGUGAUUUCCACCAAGUUACGCGAGAAGGUGCUCUGGGACUUGCCCUGCUGUCGACUUCCCAUUUUCUAAGCAGAAGACAGAAAUAGACCACGGAAGGCACCAAGGAGACCCAGACGUGCCUACAGCCCCUGGGAAAAGCUCUGGGAAGUCAGCACCUUACCAGACACAGGUCUCUAUCUUUUUUUCCAUGCCCACCCAUCUACCUGUGAUUUACUGAGGGUG